GGUGAUGACAGCUUUGUAAUAGAGCUUGAAGUCUGGAAUUGUGAUGCCACCAUUUUGGUUUUCUCUUUCAGCAUUUCUUUGGCUUUGGAUCCGACUUCUGAUAGUUCUGGUUUUGUGCUCCACUGCUCUGUAUCAGUUGUGGUAGCCAGUGCGCAGAGGCUCCCACCCCAGCCCUUUCCCCGCCAUGGUCUGUCCUCCCAUGUAGUACCUUGAUUCGCUUCUUUGCAGCAUCUACUUUGCAGGAGGUGGUCACUUUUCUAUUUGUAGAGUUGCAGCUACUCUUUUCUUAGCUUUCCAGUUGAGUUCACAGUUGUUCAGAAUGAUUUGGUAGCUAUUUAGCUGAAGUCUUGGGACCAGAUGAAAUUAUGGUCUCCUAUUCCUCCACCAUCUUCCUUGUAAAAAUUGUUGUAUGAACACAGGUUUUUAAUUCUUCUCGGUAUUCACCUAGGAGUGGAAUGACGGGGACAUGUGAUAACUUGGUGGUUAGUCCUUUGAAAAGUUGCCAGACUGUUUUCAAAAGCAGCUGCUCCUUUCUGCAUUCCUGUCAGCUGUGUGUGCAGGUUCUGAUUUCUCCAUAUUUUCUCCAACGUUUGUUAUCCGUCUUUUGACUUGGACAUCCUCAUGUGUAUGAAGUUGGCGUCACAUCGCUUUGAUUUGCCUUUCCCCAAACAGCUUUUCAUGUACUUAUUGGCUGUUUGUAUAUCUUUAGAGAAAAGUUUGUUUGGAUCCUUUUCAGUUUUUAAGCUGGGUCAUUUGUCCUUUUAUUACUGAAUUGUAGGAAUUCUUUAUAUAUUCUAGACCUGAUCAUUACCAGAUGGUUUGCCAAUACUUUCUCCCAUUCCGUGUGUUUUUUCUUCACUUUCUGAUGGUUCCCUUAUAGACAUUAAAGUCUUUAAUUUUGAUGGAGUCCAGUGUAUUUGUUUCUGCUUUUUGUUGCUUGUACUUUGUACUGAGAAGUUGUUGCCUAAUCCAGUGUUGUGAAGACUUGCUCUGUUUUCGUCUAUAUGUUUCGUAGUUACAGCUUGUACAUGUAGACAUUUGAUUCAUUUGAGUUCAUUUUGUAUAUGGUGUAAGAUGAAGGUCCACCUUUAUUUUUUUGCAUGCAGAUACCCAGUUGUCCUCAUAACUGUUGAAGAGACUGUGAGUUCCCCAUUAAAUUAUCCUGGGACCCUUAUUGAUAAUCAGUUGACCAUAAAUGUGCGAGUUUACCUCUGGAGUCUCAGUUCUACUCCAUUCUGUAUUCCUAUCCCUAUGCCAGUACCACACUGUCUUGGUUACUUUAUCUUUAUAGCAAGUUUUGAAAUUGGGAUGUGUGAGUCUUCCAACUGUUUUUCCUCUCAAGAU